rnacentral:lncRNA from 1 species
ACUUUUAUUGUAAAUACAAAAUAUCUUUAUGAAUUAUAACUUGAAUGUAGAAUUUAAACACGAUAGUUAUAUCAAAUUUAUUUUUGUGCCUUUAUGUACACAUGAUAUACAUAUUAACUAUAUAGGAGAAUUGCACGCUGCGCUGUAUAAAGAGAAAAAUACAGAAGCGCACGUUAUUUAUAUCUAUAUCACGCUAUCUAAGCGGUUCUCAAUCAGUAGUAUAAGGUACCACUAGUGGUACCUUAUACUAUUGAUUGAGAACCGCUAGUGGUAUGCGAGACACCACUAGUGGUACGACUAAUCGGUACCACUAGUGGUACGCGAGACACGACUAACGGUACGUGUAUAAUCUUGGCUUCCUAUUUGUAUACAGGACAUAUUUUUGUUGUCGGUACUGAAAUUUUCGAAUUUUUGAGUUCGGUGGUACAACAUUUAUGAUAUAUUGACAACAGUAGAAAUCUUUUUAUUUGCUAGUUAUAACUGAGAAAAUAAUAAUAUUAAUUUUAUUAUUCCCAUUAAACUACAGCAUAUAAAAAUAGUACCGUAUUUUAGAAAAUGCAAAAAAUAAAAACAAUCUCACAAAUUUCAC